GACGAACGCUGGCGGCGUGCUUAACACAUGCAAGUCGAACGGAAAGGCCCCUUUGGGGUUACUCGAGUGGCGAACGGGUGAGUAACACGUGAGUAACCUGCCCUUGACUUCGGGAUAACUUCAGGAAACUGGGGCUAAUACCGGAUAGGAAUCCUUGCUGCAUGGGGGGGGUUGGAAAGCUUCGGCGGUUUUGGAUGGACUCGCGGCUUAUCAGCUUGUUGGUGGGGUAGUGGCUUACCAAGGCUUUGACGGGUAGCCGGCCUGAGAGGGUGACAGGCCACAUUGGGACUGAGAUACGGCCCAGACUCCUACGGGAGGCAGCAGUGGGGAAUAUUGCACAAUGGGCGGAAGCCUGAUGCAGCAACGCCGCGUGCGGGAUAACGGCCUUGGGGUUGUAAACCGCUUUCAGCAGGGGCGAAGCUUGUGGUGACGGUACCUGCAGAAGAAGCACCGGCUAACUACGUG
rnacentral:rRNA from 1 species